AAGCCCUUGUACACCCAUGACUCUAAGAACGCCUUUCGGUGUAGCUCUAUCUGGGCCACCAAGUUGUGCUACAGCAUCAACAAAUCGUUCAUGAAGCUCAUUGGUCCAACGCAGACGUUGCUUUGAGGCAAGACUAGAACUGUUGUUGCCUCCACAGGAAGGGUCCAUUGAACCGCCACCACAGUCUAAUGACUGACUAUUGACAGCAGCAUUGUUGUGUGCUAAGCUUGAACUGGGAACGCCUUUGGGCUGAUACAUUUCAUUUAUAGUGAUAGAUAAUUAAGGCAGAUAUUGGAUCUUCGAAUUCUUCACUCUUUCAUUACAAACUGAAUUUUUU
rnacentral:misc_RNA from 1 species